rnacentral:rRNA from 1 species
CCCUUAGAUGUUCUGGGCUGCACGCGCGCUACACUGAUGCGAUCAACAAGUUUUUCCUAUGUCGAUAGACACGGGUAAUCUUUUGAACUCGCAUCGUGAUGGGGAUAGAUUAUUGUAAUUAUUAAUCUUCAACGAGGAAUUCCUAAUAGGUGCAAAUCAUCAGUUUGCAUCGAUUACGUCCCUGCCCUUUGUACACACCGCCCGUCGCUGCUACCGAUUGGUUGAUCUGGUGAAUUAUUCGGACUGCCGGCUGAAGGGGUUUCCUCAUCUGCCAGCGGAAAGUCUUGUUAACCCUAUCAACUAGAGGAAGCAGAAGUCGUAACA